CUCCUCCUUUUUUGGGAGUCGGUUAAUAAAAAGGAUUUUGUUUGGUCUACUUACGUUAUUAUAUCUGCUACAAUUACGGAAAUAAUUUUUGAUUGAUUGAUUGAUU